CGCGGAUGAUGACACCUGGGUAUGCUGCACACUCCCGACUGCGUCGUGGGGAAGCCAACCUUGGAGAGCUGAGCGUGCGGGCAGCC
rnacentral:snoRNA from 1 species